UACACAGACUGGCCGAAUUUCACACGUCGUCCCAAAGGGACGAAGGCGUGAAAACGGGGGAACCAAGUUUCAGGGGUGAGUUGACCGAUUGUUCCCAGCUAUCGAUCAUAGGCGAAUUCGUUUCGCCGAACCCGUCAGCUAACCUCGUAGGCGAAUGAUGUGCUUUG
rnacentral:sRNA from 1 species